GUCUUUUAGAAAAAAAUUAAAAGUCUAAUCUGCCCAAUGAUUAUUAAAUGGCCGCGGUAAACUGACCGUGCAAAGGUAGCAUAAUAAUUAGUCUUUUAAUUGAAGGCUUGUAUGAAUGAUUGAAUGAAAUAUUUUCUUUAUUGCUUUUAAUAUUUUAAUUUAAUUUUUAAGUAAAAAAGCUUAAAUUAUUAUGUGGGACGAGAAGACCCUAUAGAGUUUAAAAAUUAAUUUAAUCAAUUAUUUUUAGUUUUUGUUAUUAAAUGGAUUUUAUUAAUUUUUUUGUUGGGGUGAUAUUAAAAUUUAAUGAACUUUUAAUUUAUUAUUCAUUAAUUAAUGAUUUUAUGUUCUUAUUUUGAAAAUAAAGGACUAAAUUACCUUAGGGAUAACAGCGUAAUUAAACUAUAGAGUUCUAAUCGACAGUUUAGAUUGCGACCUCGAUGUUGGAUUAAGAAAAGAUUUUGGGGCAAAUUCUAUUAGGUCUAGGUCUGUUCGACCUUUAAAUUCUU
rnacentral:rRNA from 1 species